UAGGGAAUCUUCGGCAAUGGGGGGAACCCUGACCGAGCAACGCCGCGUGAGUGAAGAAGGUUUUCGGAUCGUAAAGCUCUGUUGUUAAGGAAGAACGAGUGUGAGAAUGGAAAGUUCAUACUGUGACGGUACUUAACCAGAAAGGGACGGCUAACUACGUGCCAGCAGCCGCGGUAAUACGUAGGUCCCGAGCGUUGUCCGGAUUUAUUGGGCGUAAAGCGAGUGCAGGCGGUUAGAUAAGUCUGAUGUGAAAGCCCCCGGCUCAACCGGGGAGGGUCAUUGGAAACUGGUUGACUUGAGUGCAGAAGAGGAGAGUGGAAUUCCAUGUGUAGCGGUGAAAUGCGUAGAUAUAUGGAGGAACACCAGUGGCGAAGGCGACUCUCUGGUCUGUAACUGACGCUGAGGUUCGAAAGCGUGGGUAGCAAACAGG
rnacentral:rRNA from 1 species